rnacentral:lncRNA from 1 species
CUCCGACGUGUUUCUGUCCGUGCAAGCCGCCGUGGAUUCAGUUCCCGAUUACAAUACCGUUAACACUAUCAUCCGAAUCAGCCCUGGAUAUUACGUGUAAUGCCCUCUUCUUCUCAAUCAUACACACAUUCAUCAUUUUAAAUAAUUCCCACAAUAAUAAUGAUAAUGAUAAUGAUAAUAAUAAUUCACAUUUUUAUCUUCUUCUUCUUUGUUAACUUUCGCUUUACGUAUAAAUCUUUCCCUCUUUUUCAGUAACUUCCCCCAAACGCAUUGUUCGAAAACAUGCAUAAAUAUUAUUCCUCCAUUUUUCAUUCUUCUUCACUUGUAAGCUUCCGAAUUAGCUCGUGCUCUUAAGUUCAUUCUUUAAUAUUAUUAACUGGGAGUCACCAUUAAGAUUUCGACACUUUUUUUUCCUAAUUAAAUCCCCAAUCAAACUUCCCAUGUGUACUCCAAUUCUUUUUAUAAAAUUAUAUUAUUAUUAUUUUGCCAUCUUAUAAAAAUUGCACUUAGUUUUGGUUUCACUUAAUUAAUCAUUGUCUUCUAAAUUACAUUUAAUUACUAUUUACGAUUAGAAUGUCCCAUACAUGAACUGGGUUUCUAUACUUUUAUAACAUUUAGAUCGUUAACAUUAAUUAUCGAAAAAUCUAAUUUAUUUAUAAACUGUAAAGAAAAGUUGAAUACUAAAGCUAAUAUGUAUAAUCUUUUUAUGAGAUUUGUCAUGAUAAAGAGAUUAAAUUAUUAAAAGUUUGAAAACGUAAUGCAUGUCACAGAUUUGAAAGUAGAUGGAAUAGUGUUACAACAUUGUUAUUUUGGAUUUAAAUUGAUAAAUCUCUUAAUCAGAAUUUACAUAUUUAUGGGGAUGAUGAUGCAAUAAUAAGGUAAUUAAAAAGGUAAAUUAUGAAUAUGAAUAAUGAAUUAGGGAGAAAGUAGUGGUGCCGGCGACGAAGCCGUACAUAACAUUUGAAGGAGGAGGAAAAGAGACGACGGUGAUUGAGUGGCAUGACAGGGCCGGUGACCGUGGUCCGAGCGGACAGCAGCUUCGUACUUACAGAACUGCCUCCGUUACUGUUUUUGCUAAUUACUUCUCUGCCCGAAACAUCAGCUUCAAGGUAUAUCAUUCUGCCCCCACCACCACCACCAUACAUAAUACACUCACUAUCCUGCACGUGAACUUCCCUAAUAAUUAUAACUUUUAAAUUUUUAAAAUACUAUUUUUGUCUCUUUUUUCUUUUAUUUUUGUCUUAGUUUGAUGAAAUAUAUUGUUGAGUUUUUAAGAAAAUUCAAAAUUUUAUUAUCUACCAACAUUUUUACUGCAGAUGUAGAAAAUUAUAUAUUCACGUCUUCAAGAAAAUUAUUGUUAUUAUUAUAUAACAAUAAUGUUAAGAUUUAUAAUUAUAAGUAUUGAGACAAAUUAAAGCUAUGGUUUUUCAAUAUGACCAGAAAAUCUGAGACUAAAUUUUUUGUCUAAUGUAUUCCAAUUUAUGAUUAGAGAGAUGUAAAAAUAAUUUUAGAAAUUAAAGUUAUAAAAAAUAAUGGGAAAACAAUCAAAUAUUAUAUUGGGGUCAAAGGAAUAUUAUUGAUAUGAUAAUAAAAUGGAUUUUACGAAUUAAGAGUUCUAUAUGAUCGAUAUUGGAAUCUUAGUCGUAGAUAAGACAAUUAACAAAGCUUCUCACAAAAGUGCUUUUAAUUAAUUGUUAUCCACACUGUACUUUAAUAAUUAGGUGACUAUUUUGAAAUUUAUUUAAUUUUAAAUCACCUCUCACCUCUUAAAUUUUAAUUCAUAUACUUUUAGUAAAACUUAACAUAUAUCCUACUUAGAAGUAAUUUUCCAUAUAAAAAAAUAUAACAGGUGGGUAUGUUUUCAAAAUUCAUAAUAAAGAUAUAUCAUUCAAUUUAUAUUUUAAAUCUCAAAAUAAAAAUAGUAUUAAUUUAAGUGUCAAACUAAUAAUUAUAUCAACUUAAAUUGAUAUAGUUAUUAGUUUAGAUUUUAAAUUAAUAUAAUCUCAAAUGAUUAAUUUUUUAAUUUUUUAUUCUAAACUAAUAAUAUUUUGUUAAUAAAAAAGAAAAAGAGAAAAAAGAGAUUAAAUUUAAGAUUUAUUAAUCUUACAUAAACUAAAAUUAAAAAUAUAAAGAUUAUAUUUUUAAACUAACUAAUCCAAUAAAUUAAAAUUAAGUAUUUAUUUUAUAAAAGUUUAAAUUACAGGUUUAUUAAUAUUUAAGAAAAUAAAUAAAUAAAUAGGAUAAAUUGUAAAAAUCACGUAUUAUACUCUUGAAUUUUCAAUAACAACUGUUAACUCCGUGAAUUUUUUAAAAUUGAACUCUAAAGCAUAAACAAUAAUUGUAAUUAUUAGAUCUACACAAAAUAACAAUUAAAUCUUCACAUUUAUAUAAGUUUGAAGAUAUGAUUUUAAAUUUUGAACGAGUUUGAAUAAAAUUUUAAAAAUAAAAAAUGUAAGAAGGUAAUUUUGAAUAUUAGUGCAAUUUGUGGAAAAGAAAAUAUUGAUAUUUUGGAACUGAUAAACGGUUGACGUUGAGGGCAGAAUACGGCACCGGCUCCAUUGCCCGGAAUGCAAGGGUGGCAGGCGGCGGCAUUUCGGAUAUCCGGCGACAAAGCCUACUUUUCGGGUUGCGGAUUCUACGGGGCACAAGAUACCCUUUGCGACGACGCCGGCCGCCAUUACUUCAAAGAAUGUUACAUUGAAGGCUCCAUAGACUUCAUCUUUGGAAAUGGCCGUUCCAUGUAUAAGGUAAGGUAUCCCUAUUUUUCUCUUUUCAUCUUACUUUUAAUUAUAUACAUAUUCCUUUUAAUUACCCUUAAAUUCUAUUUUAAUUACAACAAUUUCUUUACUAAGUAUAGUUUAGUUAAUACUAAACUUUUAUCAUUUGUCGAGAUGGAAGGCUGUAUUCUCAUUUAUAAUAUGAAUAAAUGGGUGAAAUUAAGAAACAAGAACUAUAGAAAGAAAAAAGUUGGUACAUAUGUUAAACUUUGACCCCACAUAUAUUAUAUUGUCUCAAUCAAAUUCCAAACAGUAAAGGGGUUAACUUUUUUAAAGUAUUGUCUUUUUUUUUUUUUUUUAAAGAAAGAAGUAAAUUACAAAGACGAAAAUUUGACCAUGGAUAGUUGUUUUUGAAAGUAAUGUUAAAAAUGGGUAAUUGAAUUAAACUUAAUUUUGUGGUGGAAGUGAUGAGAGCCAUAGUUAAAAUAGGUCACUUUAUCAUAAUGACCUUGUUUAGCCAUGAAGCAAAAGAUAAAGUCUAUUUUAAAUUUUGUUUUUAUUAUUCCUAAUGGUGGCAUUAAUAAUUAGCUUUUUCAAAUGCAUCUAAAAUUGUUAUAACAAAUAUUAUGAAAAUUAACAACUAAAAUGUUACCUAUCUCUUUCUAUUGUGUUUGUAACUUUUGUGGUUCAGGAUUGCGAACUGCACUCCAUCGCCACCCGGUUUGGUUCCAUAGCAGCGCAAGAUAGAAACUCGCCAAUCGAAAAGACCGGGUUCGCUUUCCUGCGGUGUAAGGUAACCGGUUCAGGACCCGUCUACGUGGGUCGUGCCAUGGGCCAGUACUCCAGAAUUGUCUACGCGUAUACUUACUUUGAUGAUGUGGUAGCACACGGUGGAUGGGAUGACUGGGACCAUGUCAGCAACAAAAACAAGUAAGAAGGAAUUAACCUUAUUCUCUCUCUUUUUCUUUUCUUCCUUACAUAACAAAUAAUGGAACUGACUUCCACAUUUGGCUCUAAUCUUGAGCCAGAGCCGCCAAUUUACUCAGACUUUAAGAAAAAAAUACAUUAAAUAUCUUUUUUGGUCUCUGAAUUUUGAAGAAUAUGUACGGUUAGUUCCUAAAAUUUUUGAAUUCGUGUUUAAAAAAUCUUUUCAUUUAAGUUUGAAUAAAAAUGUGAAACUCAGCUCAACAGCAAAUGCCUCUGUUCCUUGGAAAAGAAAAAUCUUUUAUCUCCCUUCUUUCUCCCUCACUCAUCUCCUCUCUCAUCCCUUUUUUUUUCUCGUUGGAGUACAAAUGAGGAUGAAAAAUGUGAUCACUAUUUUGAUGCAAACUGCAAGAGCAGUACCUUUUGAUUUCAGCAUACACUGGUGUCAGUUGAACACAAUAUUUUGAUAGGCCUUCUCCCUCGAUUGAUUCUUUUUGUGGGUGUGUGUGUGAGUGGUGCAGGACUGUAUUUUUUGGAGUAUACAAGUGCUGGGGGCCAGGGGCG